ensembl:misc_RNA
UUGACAGUCUCAGAGAUCAAAGUUCUCUUUUUAUCAACUAAACAGAUAUAGCACAGGGAGUAAAAAUUUCCCAUCUGCCCAAACCACUGCUCUGGAGAUUUUAUCUAUAAAGGAUGAGAGGAUUUUUCAAGCUCUUUACCUUUGUCUUUCUCUUUAGAGG